UAGAGAACCAAACUGAUGGACGAACGAGAACAAAUUUUCGAUAGAAAUUUCGAAAAUUUUCCAAGAUAUUUCGAUUGUUUAAAGCAGCGAAUAGUUCAAGGCUUUCCGUAUUUCAUCGUGUUCUCAAUGAAUUUACAGAACACGCGUCGUCACACCCUCCAUUCAUUUUGAUUAUUCCCACUGCCUAAAUGAAUGACUUUAAAAAAUAAAAAAAAUUAACGAAAUUUAUAUUUUUAUUUGCAAAUGAGAGAAAAUUUAAUAUUCAAUUUUUUAAAUCACAAAAUUGAAUGUAAAGUAAUAAAAAUAAAAAAAAAAAACAAUAAACGUACGUAACAUUCAUAUUAAAGAUCCUGAUUUUUCAUAUAUUUAUUCAUUCGUUUAUUUCAUUUUUUCUAUUUGUAUAUAUUCAUUCAUUUUGAUAUUAUUAGGAUCUUCAGGGGCUUCGCUACUUUGCUAAAUUUUUCAAUGCUCAUCACAAAAAAUAGAUCGAAAAAAAAUAGGAUUAAAAACCGGUAUAAUAAUAUCAAGAAUUCACAAAUACGCAUGCAUGUCAAGGUAAAUCGUCUAAUAAUUAAUUGAUGAUUUAAAAGUUGUAGGUGUUCAAUUAAUUAGUACUGAAAUUUCACAAUGAAAUGAUUUUCGUGACUGAUUGGCAGGAGGCAAGCAAUUGACGAAUUUAAUCGAUGGUAUAACGCAUGACAAUAACAGGAGCAUUCGUGUGGAGCCCUAUGGAGAUUUUACAUCUGAUUCACAAGCCGAUUGGGGUCGAGUCAUGUGGGUUGUAUUGACGAUGCUUUUUCAUACAAGCGAAAACCGUGGCCGCCGUGUCGAACGAGUGCAACAUUAGAUCGAAUAAUGGCCACCCGAAGCGUUUGCCUCGCUAUUACCUUCAUCAUCGUUAUUAUUGAUCGAACGUAUAACUGAUACGGUAACCGAGCGUUUAUACAACACACAUCAGGUCCAUACAGCGGACGAAUCCGCGCAUUAUCGAUUCGCUGGUCCAUAGUUCAAGACUCGAUCAACCAUGCACCCGCAAGUGGAUUAGGUUCAAGAUCAGACUUAUCAGAGUUAUGGCUUGAAGGCUGCGAGGCAGAGUAGCUCGGGAAAUAGAAGCUGGUCAAAAUAAUAAUCAGAAUUUCGGUUUUCAACUGACUUUCUUUGUCUUUCGGUGCUAACUGUCCAGUCGAGUAUUUUUCUGAGUUGAGUUUUUCUGUGCAAAAAUAAAAGUUGCAAAAUUGUUUCGUCUUCGUUGA